UACAGAGGGUGCAAGCGUUGUUCUGAAUUAUUGGGCGUAAAGGGCGCGUAGGCGGUUUGACAAGUCUGAUGUGAAAUCUCUGGGCUCAACCCAGAGUCUGCAUUAGAAACUGUCGGGCUUGAGUAUGGGAGAGGUGAGUGGAAUUUCCGGUGUAGCGGUGAAAUGCGUAGAUAUCGGAAGGAACACCUGUGGCGAAAGCGGCUCACUGGACCAUAACUGACGCUGAGGCGCGAAAGCUAGGGGAGCAAACAGG
rnacentral:rRNA from 1 species